rnacentral:rRNA from 1 species
GGUGUUUACACUAGACUGAUGAGUUGCGAACGGGUGAGUAACGCGUAGGUAACCUGCCUCAUAGCGGGGGAUAACUAUUGGAAACGAUAGCUAAUACCGCAUAAGAGUGAUUAACACAUGUUAGUUAUUUAAAAGGAGCAAUUGCUUCACUGUGAGAUGGACCUGCGUUGUAUUAGCUAGUUGGUGAGGUAAAGGCUCACCAAGGCGACGAUACAUAGCCGACCUGAGAGGGUGAUCGGCCACACUGGGACUGAGACACGGCCCAGACUCCUACGGGAGGCAGCAGUAGGGAAUCUUCGGCAAUGGACGGAAGUCUGACCGAGCAACGCCGCGUGAGUGAAGAAGGUUUUCGGAUCGUAAAGCUCUGUUGUUAGAGAAGAACGUUGGUAGGAGUGGAAAAUCUACCAAGUGACGGUAACUAACCAGAAAGGGACGGCUAACUACGUGCCAGCAGCCGCGGUAAUACGUAGGUCCCGAGCGUUGUCCGGAUUUAUUGGGCGUAAAGCGAGCGCAGGCGGUUCUUUAAGUCUGAAGUUAAAGGCAGUGGCUUAACCAUUGUACGCUUUGGAAACUGGAGGACUUGAGUGCAGAAGGGGAGAGUGGAAUUCCAUGUGUAGCGGUGAAAUGCGUAGAUAUAUGGAGGAACACCGGUGGCGAAAGCGGCUCUCUGGUCUGUAACUGACGCUGAGGCUCGAAAGCGUGGGGAGCAAACAGGAUUAGAUACCCUGGUAGUCCACGCCGUAAACGAUGAGUGCUAGGUGUUAGGCCCUUUCCGGGGCUUAGUGCCGCAGCUAACGCAUUAAGCACUUCGCCUGGGGAGUACGACCGCAAGGUUG